AGAGUUUGAUCCUGGCUCAGAACGUACGCUGGCGGCACGCCUAACACAUGCAAGUCGAACGAAGUAGCAAUACUUAGUGGCAGACGGGUGAGUAACAUGUAGGUAUCUGCCCUUUGGCCUGGAAUAACACGAGGAAACUUGUGCUAAUACCGGAUAAGUCUUUACGGAGAAAGCUUUAUGCACCAUUGGAUGAGCCUGCACUUGAUUAGUUUGUUGGUGGGGUAAUGGCCUACCAAGACUGUGAUCAAUAGCUGAUUUGAGAGGAUGAUCAGCCACAUUGGGACUGAGACACGGCCCAAACUCCUACGGGAGGCAGCAGUGGGGAAUCUUGCACAAUGGAGGAAACUCUGAUGCAGCGAUGCCGCGUGAGUGAAGAAGGCCCUUGGGUUGUAAAGCUCUUUCGUCGGGGAAGAAAAUGACUGUACCCGAAUAAGAAGGUCCGGCUAACUUCGUGCCAGCAGCCGCGGUAAUACGAAGGGACCUAGCGUAGUUCGGAAUUACUGGGCUUAAAGAGUUCGUAGGUGGUUGAAAAAGUUAGUGGUGAAAUCCCAGAGCUUAACUCUGGAACUGCCAUUAAAACUUUUCAGCUAGAGUAUGAUAGAGGAAAGCAGAAUUUCUAGUGUAGAGGUGAAAUUCGUAGAUAUUAGAAAGAAUACCAAUUGCGAAGGCAGCUUUCUGGAUCAUUACUGACACUGAGGAACGAAAGCAUGGGUAGCGAAGAGGAUUAGAUACCCUCGUAGUCCAUGCCGUAAACGAUGUGUGUUAGACGUUGGAAAUUUAUUUUCAGUGUCGCAGGGAAACCGAUAAACACACCGCCUGGGGAGUACGACCGCAAGGUUAAAACUCAAAUGAAUUGACGGGGACCCGCACAAGUAGUGGAGCAUGUGGUUUAAUUCGAAGAUACGCGCAGAACCUUACCAACACUUGACAUGUUCGUCGCGACUUUAAGAGAUUAAAGUUUUCGGUUCGGCCGGACGAAACACAGGUGCUGCAUGGCUGUCGUCAGCUCGUGUCGUGAGAUGUUGGGUUAAGUCCCGCAACGAGCGCAACCCUCACUUUUAGUUGCCAUCAUUAAGUUGGGCACUCUGAAAGAACUGCCAGUGAUAAGCUGGAGGAAGGUGGGGAUGACGUCAAGUCCUCAUGGCCCUUACGUGUUGGGCUACACACGUGCUACAAUGGUAUCUACAACAGGAAGCAAGACUGCGAAGUUAAGCAAAUCCCUAAAAGAUACCUCAGUUCGGAUUGCACUCUGCAACUCGAGUGCAUGAAGCUGGAAUUACUAGUAAUCGUGGAUCAGCGUGCCACGGUGAAUGCGUUCCCGGGUCUUGUACACACCGCCCGUCACACCAUGGGAGUUGGUUCUACCUUAAGGCAAGGUUUCAAACCCUUGACCACGGUAUAGUCAGCGACUGGGGUGAAGUCGUAACAAGGUAACC
rnacentral:rRNA from 1 species